UAUCACAAGAGGUGAUUUCCAACUUAAAACUUCAAACGACAAAUGAAGAUGAAGAUAGCCGUUCCUUCUUGCUAGACGACGAUUCCAGCAUCCCUUUUGAAACCGAUGAGAUCUCGAGCUGCAUGCAAGAAAGGGACUUUGCGAAUGCAAAAUCAGCUUCUGAGCUCGCUGAUAACCCCAACUUCCACUUUCUUAAGGAUUGAGAAACUGUUUAUUCAGCCUUGGUAGUAUAA